GGGGGGAGGAGACGGGAUUGUCUGCCAGACUUUGUUGAGAAAAUACAUGGCAGUUACACCUGACCAGAAAACCAUCUGCCUCUGCCUCGUGGACACACGGCCAAGGCCGGGAUCGGCAUGGGAUGCUCCGACUCAGAAAGCUCUCAGCUAGAGGAUGUCCCAGAAGAGAAAUGGCCGAUUUAGAGCGACUGAGGAAUACCUAUCCUUUGAAACAAAUAUUUAUUUUUUAAUGAUUUUUUUUUCUGGGAAACUGACAGGUCUUGAGAGACAGGAAACGCAUCCAGGUUCUGGGAAGGAGUCAUCCUCUCCAAUCAUAGGAGGUGUAGACACAAGAGCAGGAGUCUGAGCGCCCUGCCGAAAACAGAACUGAAAAUGUGCGAAUGAUUAUCACCGUUGUAAGAAUGAUUAUUACCGUUAACGAGAAUCAGUAUUAUUUUUGCUCACUUCGUACUCUGUUGUCUGGCACACAACGGGUAUUCCAAAAACAGCAACUCUCUGUCAUGACUAUUAUUAAGGCUGUAUUUGAACCUUCACUCCUUAGCUGAGGACCUGGGACACAGGAGGUGCUUAAUAAAUGCCUAUUGAAUACCUGAAUGAAUACCAGGUGCACGAGGUGCUGGGCCGCCGACUCUUCAGAGAUAAGGAUGCUCUUACGCUUUCUUUGGCUCGGCUGUGAAGGAUGCUGCUACGGGCCUGAAAAGUGGGUCCGCUGCCCCGAAGGCUCCCCGGGGAAAAUCAUCGUAGCUGUAGACACUGUCUGUGGAGCCAGGACUGGAGUAAGCUUUUCGAGCCCUCAGAUUCCCUCCUCGCCAAGGACUGAGCGAGCUUGGCAGGAGGCUGGAGGCUGAUCCUAUAAGGUAGAAUUUAUUAUUCCCCUUUAAGAUGAAGUUAAGUCUAAAAAAGUUAAAAAAAAAAAAAAAAAAAAAAAAAAAAAAAAAAAAAACAGAGGAACUCAGGUUUGUUUGGGGAGGCAGGGGUUGGUUUUUUUUUUUUAACAGUUUUUUAUUUUGCUUCUUGUAUUGCAUCUUUUUUUAAUUACUCAAUGAAUUUUAUUACAUUUAUAGUUGUACAACAAUCAUCACAACCAAAUUUUAUAGCAUUUCCAUCCCAAACCCUCAGUGCAUCCCUCCACCCCCUAACCUGUCUCAUUUGGAAACUGUAAGUUUGUCAAAGUCUGUGAGUCAGUAUCUGUUCUGCAAAGAAGUUCAUUGUGUCCUUUUUUUAGAUUCCACAUGUAAGCGAUGGCAUUUGAUGUUAGUCUGUCAUUGUCUGACUGACUUCACUUAGCAUGAUAAUUUCUAAGUCCAUCCAUGUUGCUGCAAAUGCCAUUAUUUCUUUCCUUUUCAUGGCUGAGUAAUAUUCCAUUGUGUACAUGUAUGGAACUCAAGUUUGAAACCAAUUUCUCUGACUCCAAACAUCAGCCUUCCCUAAACACUAGUACUUCCAAUGGAGGGAAAUGAAAGGUCAGACAUUCCAUAUUUUUCCAUGAAGGACUAAAUAGAUCUCUGGUUUGUGUGCCCUUGGAGAAGGUCUUAAGGGGUGCAGUGUUUGGUGUUUUUUUUCCCUUUUCACCUUUCCUCCUAACUGUCCAUUCGCCUGAUUCUGUCACAUGAACACUCUGGGCACCUUCUCUUAUGAGUCCCUGCCGUUCCCACAUUGUGGCUCCUGGAACCCCCUUUCCCAUCUCUGAAACAGAACAAAAAACUCAGGCCAAAAGCAAAGAAAUUGGCUUCACAUCUGUAACCGCACUGAUGAGCCACGGAGCUUUGGAAAAAUGACUUCACGUCUGUGAUCCUCAAUUUCUUUUUCCUCAGCCAAGAACUAAGUGAAGCUACCAUCUUACAGCAC
rnacentral:lncRNA from 1 species